rnacentral:tRNA from 1 species
GGGGGAGUGGCUCAAUUGGUAGAGCAGCGGUCUCCAAAACCGAAGGUUGUGGGUUCGAGUCCUGCCUCCCCCGCCA